rnacentral:tRNA from 1 species
GGGGAUAUAGCUCAGUUGGGAGAGCGCUACAAUGGCAUUGUAGAGGUCGUCGGUUCGAGACCGAUUAUCUCCA